AAUAGAUACCCAGGUAGUCCACGCCGUAAACGAUGGAUACUAGCUGUUGGGGGGCAACUUCAGUGGCUAAGCGAAAGUGAUAAGUAUCCCACCUGGGGAGUACGAACGCAAGUUUGAAACUCAAAGGAAUUGACGGGGGCCCGCACAAGCGGUGGAGCAUGUGGUUUAAUUCGAUGAUACGCGAGGAACCUUACCAAGGCUUAAAUGCAGACUGACCGAUUUGGAAACAGAUCUUUCGCAAGACAGUUUACAAGGUGCUGCAUGGUUGUCGUCAGCUCGUGCCGUGAGGUGUCAGGUUAAGUCCUAUAACGAGCGCAACCCCUGUCGUUAGUUGCCAGCGAGUCAUGUCGGGAACUCUAACAAGACUGCCAGUGCAAACUGUGAGGAAGGUGAGGAUGACGUCAAAUCAUCACGGCCCUUACGCCUUGGGCUACACACGUGCUACAAUGGCCGGUACAGAGAGCAGCCACCUCGGCGAGGGGGAGCGAAUCUAUAAAGCCGGUCACAGUUCGGAUCGGAGU
rnacentral:rRNA from 1 species